GAUCUGGUCAGAACGAACGCUGGCGGCGCGUCUUAAGCAUGCAAGUCGAACGGCAAGAGGUAGCAAUACCUCCUAGAGUGGCGGACUGGUGAGUAACACGUGGGUGACAUACCCUUCAGAUGGGGAUAGCUAUUAGAAAUAGUAGAUAAUACCGAAUACGAGCACAGGGGUUAGAGAUCUGUGAGGAAAGGAGCUAAGGCUCCGCUGAAGGAAUGGCCUGCGGCCCAUUAGCUAGUUGGUGAGGUAAGAGCCCACCAAGGCGAUGAUGGGUAUCCGGCCUUAGAGGGUGAACGGACACAUUGGGACUGAGAUACGGCCCAGACUCCUACGGGAGGCAGCAGCUAAGAAUAUUCCGCAAUGGACGAAAGUCUGACGGAGCGACGCCGCCGUGGAUGAAGAAGGCCGGAAGGUUGUAAAAUCCUUUUGAAACUGAAGAAUAAGCGUUGUAGGGAAUGACAGCGUGGUGACAGUAGGUUUUGAAUAAGCAACGGCUAAUUACGUGCCAGCCGCCGC
rnacentral:rRNA from 1 species